UUACCUUUGAGUUUAGAAUCAAUGUUCAAAAACAGAAUUUAGGUUAAUUCUUUACCCCUAAAGUAUAAGAGUCAAUUUCAUUCAUAAGAAACAGAGCUUCUACAGCUCCCCAAGAGCUCCAAGUCCUGGGGUGCCUCUCCCUUGUCCCAACUCAAACCCUCCUUCCAGAGGUAAAGACUACCCUGAAAUUUUUGAUAAUCAUAUUUUUUUUCUUUGUGGUUUGUUACCCAUACCUAAAUAAUGUGGCAGCUUUGUCUAUUUUGAACCUUAUUUAAAUUGAACUGUAGUUAAAAUUCCUUGUCUUGCUUCUCUCAUUCAUCAUUACAUGUGAGAAUCAUCUAUAAUGUUAAUCAUGGCUAUGAUUUGGUCAUGAUCAUUACUGCGGAUAUACUGUUUUGUGAAUAGACAACAGUUAUUUAUACAUUCUAUUCUUUCUGGUUAUUUAGUUUUUUUUUUCAAUUUUAGAUAUGACAAAGAAUUCUGCAAUAUGUACUCCUCCUGCUCAUGGGUCCUGGGAGAUAUGUGCAUGAGUUUCUCUAGGAUACAAAAGAAGUUCACCACUAGCAGCCAACUGAUGGCCACAAAGAAAUGAGACUGAGGAUGAAACUAACGUUAAGGAGGACACCAGUGAAACUGUAACCUUCCAGUUAUGUGAGCCAGCAAAUCCCAUUUCGGUUCAAGGAAGGUUGACUUGGUUUUUGUUUCUUUGUUCAUUAUUUUUAUUAUUUGUAACUAAAAAUUACUAAUAAGGUUGCAAUGGGUAAUAACAAACUCAGCUGUUGGAGAUGCAAAUUGGAAGUAAUCUUUCCAGGAGCAAUUAGCUACACACACACACACACACACACACACACACACACACAC
rnacentral:lncRNA from 1 species